rnacentral:lncRNA from 1 species
CCCGGCACCGCCCCGCCCACCCCGGCACCGCCCCGCCCACCCCGGCCCCGCCCCGCCGCGGGCCGCAGCUCGGGCGUAGGGCUGACGUCAGCGCGCCGCCUCCGCGGGAGUCAGACAGCGGGUCCUGCUCGGCCUGAGACUGAAGGGCGCCGGGCGUCUGCGGAGGCGGGGGAAGCUCGGGGCUUCACCGGGGGGCAGCUGCCCGGGGGUCUCUCUCCCCCAGUUCUCCUGGCCCUGGAGGGAGCCAUCCGCCGCACAAAAUCCCUUCUGAACCGCGAUGCUUUUUAUAGCAGUCCUCGCACAACUGCCUCUGGACCUGCUUUUACUAGGGGGUGCGGGGACUGAGAGGGUAACUUUUCCUGUGGCACAGGAGGAAUUUGGCCCGGAGGCUGCUGGUCAUGUUACUGGAACUGUGUGGGCUGGGCCGGGGGAGCCCCAACAAGGACCUGGCCAGAACCAGGAGCAGCAGCGACAGCGCCCGCCUGGCCUCGCUCACACAGGCCGUUUACACCCCUCGGGCGUGCUCAGGCAGGGAGCUGCAUCUGGCAUCUCGGAGGUGCAGAGACCAUAUCACAGCGUGUGGCGCCACGCAGGAAAACAGAGGCUGAGAAUGAGAAACCGUCUUGUCACAGAGGGGCAGUGCCACCGCCAACUGCCACAGAGCAGAGGGCACAGUGAGAUCGCGGUGCUGCGCCCUUGUCUGCUCAUCUCAGAAGCUGAAGAGACUGUAGGCGCAGCUCUGACGGCUGCUGGAGGAGGCGCGGCUCAGCCAAGCCCAGAAGAUAACGCGUGGGAAUCGGGUG